AUGAUAAAGGUGUAGUGCACAACAUCUAAAUCGAAUAGAACCGCAGCGCCCCUCGAUCGCUCACUCACCCCGGCUCUGCCGCCUGUGUGCUCCGAGCUCGGCUCCUCCCCUUCCUCCCUCUUCCCCCUCGGCCUCACAGUUCGGUGAAGUCCACCAGGGAGAGCUCGAGUGAAGCAACUCCAACACCCGCCAUGAAGAACAGAGACGCACCUGUAUCUCCUUCCUCAUCCUCACCUAGUGUUUCUAGGUUGAAGUCAUAGCAGCAACAUCACCGCAGCUUAUUCUUCCUCCGCUCGAUUUCAGUGAAGUUGCGAAGAUGGAUAUCAAUGAGAUCAAUGAGGAGCUAUUCUUCAUGGUGGGCGUCAAAGUUGCUUCACUCAAGCUUUCCCCAGUAGACUUCACCGAGUCGUGAGGCCGGGAAGGAAGGGGGAGGAAGGGGAGUCGGGCUCGGAGCGGGCCCGGGGUGGGUGGGUGGUCGAGGGGCGGUACGGAGCCUUGACAAGAGUGAAUUUUUCACAAAUGAAUCUAGGGAUUCUUCGAGAUUGCACGUCGACUUUAGUUGGUUCUGUUCGAUUGGAGAAGAUGAACAAAGACAACUUUAGACACUGUUUCUUUAUUGUUUCUUCUUUAUUAAAGAAAUAUAUAUUGUUUUUGUUGAAGAGGUGCAA